CUCACAUCUGGUGCAGGCACCAGUGCAGCUCCAGGGAAGGAGUCUUGCUUUCAGAAGUUCUGUGUGAGGAGGAAAGCAAGGGUUAUACACUGAACUUAGU
rnacentral:sRNA from 1 species